rnacentral:rRNA from 1 species
GACGAACGCUGGCGGCGCGCCUAACACAUGCAAGUCGAGCGAGAACCGGGGCUUCGGCCCCGGGGACAGCGGCGAACGGGUGAGUAACACGUGGAUAACCUGCCCUCGGCACCGGAAUAGCCCGGGGAAACUCGGAUUAAUGCCGGAUAGCCCCACAUCCCUGCGGGGAACGUGGGAAAAGGUAGCUUCGGCCCCUGGCCGGGGAUGGGUCCGCGGUGGAUUAGCUGUUUGGCGGGGUAACGGCCCACCAAGGCGACGAUCCAUAGCUGGUCUGAGAGGACGAUCAGCCACACUGGGACUGAGACACGGCCCAGACUCCUACGGGAGGCAGCAGUGGGGAAUCUUGCGCAAUGGGCGAAAGCCUGACGCAGCGACGCCGCGUGCGGGAAGAAGGCCUUAGGGUUGUAAACCGCUUUCAGGAGAGACGAAGCCACUCGGGUUAAUAGCCCAGAGGGUGACGGUACCUCCAGAAGAAGCCCCGGCUAACUACGUGCCAGCAGCCGCCGUAACAC